GGAUUCAAACCCAACUCCACACACUCUGGAGGAGAUGAAAGUUUCUGCCAAGGCUACAGCCACACCCAGCUAGCCCCAGGGCUUCCCACUUGCUUUUUUGUGGGAGCUAGUCCUGAGGUAUUUGAACUUCGGACAGAAGAAGAGAAAUUCUGAAAUGAUGGAUCCAAUGACAUAUUUGGUACAAAAGGAAAAAAAUGAAACCAGAAAUCAUAUGGACUAAAUGGUACAAAAAGAGAAGUCACCAGUGACAAGAAUGGGGCCCUAGAUUCUGAUUGCCAAGUGCAUGUCUGAAUGCGUUUCUGAGAUGGCCCUCCUUUCUACCUCUUGUGGAAGAUAAAAAGCCCUCACUAGAAUGUCUUCAAAGUAACAUGCUGGUAAGAAGAAAAGAACAGAAAAUGGUGGUUAAUUGGAAGACUCAGGUUCUCUGAAGAAGUAAAAAUAAAGGCGUUCUCUCUUUUUAAGGGGCAAAAAUCAGAUGUAAAUUAUUUCCCAUAGCUAUGAUAAGCAUAAGCAAAAAAUAAAAAAAAGACAACAAAAAUUAUGAAGGCAA